rnacentral:lncRNA from 1 species
GAGACCGUGAGAAACCUGACAACGGGUUGGCGGCGGCGGUGCUGCGUCGGGGGUCCUUAAUCUCUGUCCUUGAGGCUGGAGAAGGGAGAAAACAUGACUGCUGGCUCAGUGUGUGCCCCUCAGAUCAUACCACUGCGAGUGCCUCAACCUGGAAAAGCUAACCAUGAAAUUGAUACCAAUACUCUUUUGGAAAUGAAAUCCGACACCCCAGAUGUCAACAUAUAUUACACCCUGGAUGGCAGCAAACCUGACUUCCUAAAGAAAGUUGGUUCUGGUGAAAAUAAUACAUUUAAAUAUGU